rnacentral:SRP_RNA from 1 species
AACUCGGUCUUGCGCAAUGAGAAUCUACGAACCGUGUCAGGUUGGGAACAAAGCAGCACUAAGUAGAACCUUUCAUGUGCCGCAAGGGCGCUGGGUGGAG